AGGAUGCCCUUUGUGAUUCUCAGAAUGAAGUGAGGUGAGGCCUCUGUGACCUCACAGGUAAAUCUCUGCUGCAGAAACAUCAGUGUUCUUUGCCUGAGGGCAACACAGAGUCCACCAAGGAGGGCUGGGAUUCAAAGCAGGCCCAAGUGUCUGGGUCCAUGUCAUACGUGGGAAAGUGCUUAUAGGGGACACUGAAUGCUGUCAAGUAUCUUCCCGACCAAUAUACACAUUGCUAUAUGAGACAAGAUAUGAUGACCAUAUAUGAACACUAAUGUAAACAUAUGUUUUGACCUCCAAGAACUCAGAAUGUUCCACUACAUCAGCUGUAAAGAAACUGGUGUGACCCAGAGGAUGGCCAGACCCUCAAUGUGUCUCUUCUCAUCAGCGAUCACAAUGUGUCCCCUUUGCCAACACAGAGCGGUGCAAACUCUCACCCCAAGCCUGGACAUUCCUCUUAGGGGAGACAUCUUCUGAUCUCUGUUGCCACCUCAAUAAGAUCUCAUCCUUUGAACGGCACACUCACAGGAACAGCACAAAAGACGGAUGCUAACAACAGGUGCUCACACGGGGACAACCAGGAAAAGCAGUGAGCAGAUGGCUGUGUGAUAAAAAAUGCUACAAACACCCGCUAACUGCUGUCAAUAAGAAAUUUUCUUUUUUCUUUCCCAGUACAAAGGCUGGUAGUCCAGGAAAGUUCAACAGGUUUGUUCCCAAUGGUCUUAAAGUUGAGCUGCUCAAGUUGACUCAAUGAAACCCAGACUUGCACACACAGAGGAAAGCGGAAAAUGGCCAAUACUUGAUCCCCA